UGGGGAAUUUUGGACAAUGGGCGAAAGCCUGAUCCAGCAAUGCCGCGUGUGUGAAGAAGGCCUUCGGGUUGUAAAGCACUUUUGUCCGGAAAGAAAUCCUUGGCUCUAAUACAGUCGGGGGAUGACGGUACCGGAAGAAUAAGCACCGGCUAACUACGUGCCAGCAGCCGCGGUAAUACGUAGGGUGCAAGCGUUAAUCGGAAUUACUGGGCGUAAAGCGUGCGCAGGCGGUUUGCUAAGACCGAUGUGAAAUCCCCGGGCUCAACCUGGGAACUGCAUUGGUGACUGGCAGGCUAGAGUAUGGCAGAGGGGGGUAGAAUUCCACGUGUAGCAGUGAAAUGCGUAGAGAUGUGGAGGAAUACCGAUGGCGAAGGCAGCCCCCUGGGCCAAUACUGACGCUCAUGCACGAAAGCGUGGGGAGCAAACAGAAUUAGAUACCCUGGUAGUCCACGCCCUAAACGAUGUCAACUAGUUGUUGGGGAUUCAUUUCCUUAGUAACGUAGCUAACGCGUGAAGUUGACCGCCUGGGGAGUAC
rnacentral:rRNA from 1 species